GACGAACCGUGCGAACGUUGUUCGGAAUCACUGGGCUUAAAGGGCGCGUAGGCGGGUGACCAAGUCCGGGGUGAAAUCUUUCGGCUUAACCGGAAAAGUGCCUUGGAUACUGGUCGCCUGGAGGGAGGUAGGGGCAUGUGGAACUUCCGGUGGAGCGGUGAAAUGCGUUGAUAUCGGAAGGAACACCUAUAGCGAAGGCAGCUUGCUGGGACGAUACUGACGCUAAGGCUCGAAAGCGUGGGGAGCGAACAGG
rnacentral:rRNA from 1 species